rnacentral:lncRNA from 1 species
AGUCCCCUCCCCACCCUAUCCUGGAGCUUGUCAAGGCCACCAGAGACCUGCUCCCUGUGCCGUCUCAGACUGGACUCUGGGGUCUCCGGUGCCUCCUCUGAUUCUGCACCUCGGUGCAGCCUCUGGCCUGGCUGCGCUCUGAGGAGCUCCCUGUGGCCACCGAGCCCUUGGAACGUGGCCAGUUCCAUUCUCAAACUGCUGUGAGUGCAAAGCUCAUGCUGGAUUUUGAAGAUUUGGUGAGAAAAAAAAUUUCUUUGUAAAAUGUCAGUAUUUCAUCAAUAGUAUAUUUUGUUGAUGAUAUGUUGAGAAACUAUUUUGGAUAUGUUUGUUUAAGUAGAUUGCUGGUGUGAGCCACCGCGCCCGGCCUGUCUUCUUCUUCCUAAGUAAGUGAAGGAAAUAAUGUAUACAGUGGUCCAUUUCCAAGACAAAGUGCCUUAAAUCAGCUUAGGUCAGCAAACUACAGAAGAAACAGGAUAUACUAGGCCCCUGCUUGGAUAGCUGAUGCCUUCUUGUCAGCCUUCUCCCUCCCCUUCUCCCUCCACUUAGUUGCCCUUACCCAAACCAGGGAAGUUUCGUCUAAGAUAAAAGUUUACUAGCCUGCAAAAUAGCUCGGUUUGUCUGUCCUUAUCAGCCUGCCCAGCUACUUAGCUCAUAAGUCAAAUACGCAGAGCCCCUGGGCUGACUGGGAUUGCAAUGCAUUGUGGGCUGCAACAAAAUGCAGCAGGACAACCCAAAAGAAGACACCUAAAGCUGCUGCCCAACAACCAAUGGGAAGACUGUGACCCCACAGUACUCAGCCUAUGAGGAUGCAGGGGAGGGGCCUGUGCACUGGGAGAUAAAUCGCUGGUUGUGACUGUGCUGUGAGUGCCUGCCCAUCAGAUAGAUACCUGAUCUUGCAAGACCGUCAUCAAAAGUCUCACUUUUGCUGUCUUCUGCGUUUCUAAAUCCAUUCUUUGGGUUCGGGCGAGUGAGUUUGUUUCUCACAGUAAGCUCUAGAACUUUGUGACUUAGCAGUUUAAGGAAAAAGCAAGUCUCUGUGGGGUCUCUCAAUGGCCAAAAAAUAGAGUGAGGAAUAAAUAGAGUUUUGUUUUGUUUUGUUUUGGUUUGUGGGUUUUGUUUCUUUGUUUGAAACAGGGUCUCACUCUGUCACCCAGGCUGAAGUGCAGUGGCACCAUCACAGAUCACUGCAGACUCCACCUCCUGGGCUCAAGCAAUCCUCCUGUCUCAGCCUCCCGAGUAGCUGGAACUCCCAAGUAACACACACAUUAGCAUGCCCAGCUAAUGUUUAAAUUAGGGUUUUAAUUCACAGAGAAAUAAAGAGCAUCUGAGCAUUCAUCUUCCA